rnacentral:rRNA from 1 species
GAUGAACGCUGGCGGCGUGCCUAAUACAUGCAAGUCGAGCGAACAGACGAGGAGCUUGCUCCUCUGACGUUAGCGGCGGACGGGUGAGUAACACGUGGAUAACCUACCUAUAAGACUGGGAUAACUUCGGGAAACCGGAGCUAAUACCGGAUAAUAUAUUUAACCGCAUGGUUCAAUAGUGAAAGACGGUUUUGCUGUCACUUAUAGAUGGAUCCGCGCCGCAUUAGCUAGUUGGUAAGGUAACGGCUUACCAAGGCAACGAGGCGUAGCCGACCUGAGAGGGGGACCGGCCACACUGGACCUGAGACACGGUCCAGACUCCUACGGGAGGCAGCAGUAGGGAACCUCCCGCAAGGGGCGAAAGCCUGACGGAGCAACGCCGCGUGAGUGAUGAAGGUCUUCGGAUCGUAAAACUCUGUUAUGAGGGAAGAACAAAUGUGUAAGUAACUAUGCACGUCUUGACGGUACCUAAUCAGAAAGCCACGGCUAACUACGUG